GCAAUUAUUUCCCUUGAACGAGGAAUUCCCAGUAAGCGCGAGUCAUUAGCUCGCGUUGAUUACGUCCCUGCCCUUUGUACACACCGCCCGUCGCUACUACCGAUUGAAUGGUUUAGUGAGGUCCUCCGAUUGGACCCGGUCCGGGCGGCGACGUCCGAGCCGGCGUCCGAGAAGACGAUCUAACUUGAUCAUUUAGAGGAAGUAAAAGUCGUAACAAGGUUUCCGUAGGUGAACCUGCGGAAGGAUCAUUA
rnacentral:ncRNA from 1 species